rnacentral:rRNA from 3 species
UUCCAGAGAUGGAUUGGUGCCUUCGGGAACUGUGAGACAGGUGCUGCAUGGCUGUCGUCAGCUCGUGUUGUGAAAUGUUGGGUUAAGUCCCGCAACGAGCGCAACCCUUAUCCUUUGUUGCCAGCGAUUAGGUCGGGAACUCAAAGGAGACUGCCAGUGAUAAACUGGAGGAAGGUGGGGAUGACGUCAAGUCAUCAUGGCCCUUACGACCAGGGCUACACACGUGCUACAAUGGCGCAUACAAAGAGAAGCGACCUCGCGAGAGCAAGCGGACCUCAUAAAGUGCGUCGUAGUCCGGAUUGGAGUCUGCAACUCGACUCCAUGAAGUCGGAAUCGCUAGUAAUCGUGGAUCAGAAUGCCACGGUGAAUACGUUCCCGGGCCUUGUACACACCGCCCGUCACACCAUGGGAGUGGGUUGCAAAAGAAGUAGGUAGCUUAACCUUCGGGAGGGCGCUUACCACUUUGUGAUUCAUGACUGGGGUGAAGUCGUAACAAGGUAACCGUAGGGGAACCUGCGGUUGGA